rnacentral:pre_miRNA from 2 species
AUAGGAAUCACCCAGGGAGCUUGAUAAAACACAGAUUCUGAUUCUGCAGGUCUGGGGUGGGGCCUGAGAUUCUGCAUUUCUGACAAGCUCCCAGGGAUGGCUAU